AGCAGCCGCGGUAAUUCCAGCUCCAAUAGCGUAUAUUAAAGUUGUUGCAGUUAAAAAGCUCGUAGUUGAAUUUCGGGAUCAAUUUAUUGGUCGUGCAAUAGUACGUACUGGUAUUAUUGGUUCCUACCUUCUGAUGAACCAUGAUGUCAUUAAUUUGGUGUUAUGGGGAAUCAGGACUGUUACUUUGAAAAAUUAGAGUGUUUAAAGCAGGCUCACGCUUGAAUACAUUAGCAUGGAAUAAUGAAAUAGGACGUUUGAUUCUAUUUUGUUGGUUUCUAGGAUCGACGUAAUGAUUAAUAGGGAUAGUUGGGGGCAUUAGUAUUCAAUUGUCAGAGGUGAAAUUCUUGGAUUUAUUGAAGACUAACUACUGCGAAAGCAUUUGCCAAGGAUGUUUUCAUUAAUCAAGAACGAAAGUUAGGGGAUCGAAGACGAUCAGAUACCGUCGUAGUCUUAACCAUAAACUAUGCCGACUAGGGAUCGGAUGAUGUUAAUUUUUAAUGA
rnacentral:rRNA from 1 species